UCUCUCCCUACCACACAACUGAGUAAGGAAGAAGAGUUAACAACACACACACUCAUGCACACACAUGUGCAGGUUGUUAUGAUUUGGAUUUGAAAAUGUCUCCAGAGAGCUGACGCAUGGAGCAACGUAGCAGUGUCAGAGGUGAGAAGAUGGGUUCUGAGAGCUGCGGCCUCAUCGUGGCCUAGGCCCUUCGAUGGAUUAAUGACUUGAUGGAUCACCAGGUGGUGACUAUAGAGAAUGAGUUGGGCGUGCUCCCUACUUCUUCUGUCCUCCUGAAGAGUUUCUGUUGGAUCGGAGCGUGGCCUUUGAGUGUUUUGGUAGAACUUUCCUGUGCUGUUCCAUUGUGCGGCUGCAUUGCUGCCUGUGUAUCCACUCAGCCGAUGGUGGACACGUGGUUUGUUUAUAGUUGGGCUCUUGUGAAUGAUUCAUCUAUGAUUAUUUUCAUACAAGUACUUUCUGCAUAUAUGUUUUUAUUUCUCUUGGAUACAUUCCUAGGAAUGGAAUGGCUGGACCACAUGGGAGGUAUAUAUUUAAUUUUAAAGGAACUACCAAACUGCUUUCCAAAGUGGUUCUGUGAUUUUCACAGCCCCACCAGCUGCGUGUGAGGGUUUCAGUUGCUCCAUGAAUCUUUGAAGCCAAUAGUGAUGGGAAGUCUUCUUAAUUUUAACCAUUCUACUACAGGUGUCGUGCUUUUAAUUUGCAUUUUUCUGAUCACUAGUGAUAUGGGGCAUCUUUUUACAGGCUAAUACAUUUUUUUGUGAAAUAUUUAUUUAAGCUAUUUAAUCUAUUUUUUUAGAUGUAGAUGGACACAUUACCUUUAUUUUAUUCAUUUAUUUCUAUGUGCUGCUGAGAAUCAAACCCAGUGCCCCACACAUACUAGGCAAGCUCUCUACCACUGAGCCUCAUGUUUCACUUAUUAUUGUGAAUUGUUUAUUACUCAGUCAUAAGAGAUAUUUAUAUAUUUUAUUUAUAAAUUAUUUGUCAAAGAUCAUCUCCCAAUGGGUAACAUAUCUUAUCAUUUACUUAAAUAGAUGUCUUAAUGAGCAAUUUAAUUGACUAAUUAAUUAAUUAACUUGAAGUUCUGGGGUUGGAACCCAGGGUUUUAUACCAGCUAGGCAAGGGCUCUAUCCUAAGCUAGACCACUAGCCCUAGAAGAUUUUAAUUUUGAUGAAAUCCAGUUAAUCAGUUUUUUCUUUUAUGGCUAAUGCUUUUCUUGUUUGAGUUAAAAAAAUCUUUGCCACCUCA